UACGUAGGGCGCAAGCGUUGUCCGGAAUUAUUGGGCGUAAAGAGCUCGUAGGCGGUCUGUUGCGUGUGAUGUGAAAUCCUAAGGCUCAACCUUGGGCUUGCAGUGGGUACGGGCAGACUAGAGUGCGGUAGGGGUGACUGGAAUUCCUGGUGUAGCGGUGGAAUGCGCAGAUAUCAGGAGGAACACCGAUGGCGAAGGCAGGUCACUGGGCCGCAACUGACGCUGAGGAGCGAAAGCCAGGGGAGCAAACGGG
rnacentral:rRNA from 1 species